GACGAACGCUGGCGGCGUGCUUAACACAUGCAAGUCGAACGGUGAAGGGACCGGUUUUUGCUGGUUCUGGAUGAGUGGCGAACGGGUGAGUAACACGUGAGUAACCUGCCCCCUUCUUCUGGAUAACCGCAUGAAAGUGUGGCUAAUACGGGAUAUUCUGCGCCUGCUGCAUGGUGGGUGUGGGAAAGAUAUUGUUUCGGUGGGGGAUGGGCUCGCGGCCUAUCAGCUUGUUGGUGGGGUGAUGGCCUACCAAGGCGGUGGCGGGUAGCCGGCCUGGGAGGGUGGGCGGUCAGAGAGGGACUGAGGCACGGCCCAGACUCCUACAGGAGGCAGCAGUGGAGAGUAGGGAACAGUGGGCGCAAGCGUGAUGCAGCGACGCGGCGGGAGGGAUGGAGGCCUUCGGGUUGUAAACCUCUUUCGGCAGUGAAGCAGGCCUGGCCCUUUUGUGGGUGGGUUGACGGUAGCUGGAUAAGAAGCGCCGGCUAACUACGUG
rnacentral:rRNA from 1 species